rnacentral:other from 1 species
UCAACCCUGCCUUGUGCGACAAAUUGCAGCCCAUAUGUAACCCAACACGUAAUCAUAGGGAGCCGAUCUCCGGAGGCGGAUUGCAGACCUCCCGCCCUGCGGCGGACGAAGGGAGCGUGAACCCAUCGGGAGGCACCCACCUGCUAAAAGAGCAGGUUACAAUCGGCUGCAUACGGCUUGGCGGGGAAUUA